GGCAGGGUUGCCGAGCUCUCGCAAUCGCGCUUUACCUGCCCAGGCAAGCCGCGGCAAGAACGCAAGGGGCGCGAAGAUAAACCGACACUUUCCCAACCGCUUCACCACCCCUCAGCGACUUCCGCUUCCGGCGACUCUACCCUUGAACCUCUGAAAUUUCACCAAGAUGUGCCUUAGAGCAGGAGCCCCCGGAGCGGCAGGGAAAGGAACGUAGAGCCUGCAUGCUCGGGGUAUGAGCUUACUGCGCUCGCUAGGGUGGCGCGCACUGGGGCUCUAGAAAAGAGGGUUGAGAAGCCCCGGGCAAGUGCCUAGGAAGGUCAGAGGAGUCAGCAAAGUCCACGGAAGAACUUCCCCGGGUUGGAGAGGAAACGCACCCUGGGAGCUGGAAAGAAGAGGAAAGCUAGCCUGGGGGAAGCUUGAUCAGGGCUCUGAGUACCACGAGGAGUGCAGAGGAGGUGCUGAUGAUUGCGGGGAGAGCUCUGAGAGCCCGAGAAAGAUGGGGAAACUGAAGCCCUAGAGGAAAAGAAGACUAAAUGUAUUACCAUCUGACCCACUUCCUGGCCAGCCUGUUCACCUGUCUGCUGUUCUUCAUUGAAUGUGAGUGUGACGGCUGGAGUUCUGGCAGCCAUAGUGGAUUAUGGCCAUAAAUAUAUACAAUUUUUCAUUUUUCAAUUGAAAAAAUAAAUAAAAGAAGAGGAAGGAGGAAGAUGUGCCAGGCAGAGGGGACAGCAUUUGCAAAGAUCGGGAUGGAGAUGUGCAAUCUAAGACUCAGAGAAGCUGGAGAAUUUUCCUAACGUCACACAGCAAAGGAAUGGAAGACUCAGGACAAGAAUACACGAUCCUCUCCUUCCAACAUGUCACCCAGCAGAACAAGAGAAGGAAUCACAAUUGGUCCAUGACAGUCACGGUCAUCUCAUUCCUCUUGCCAGUGGCAGGUGUAUGUGUGAGUUUGCAGCUCAAUCCUGGCCAAGGGGAUCCAAGGACUGCUGAAGAGGCAUGUCUGCACAUGUCACCUAGAACAUCUCCAGCCAUCAUGUGAUCUCUGGGGGAGGCAUUCCCAACUCUCUGAGAGAAGCAGACCAGAAAGAUGGAAAGAAAGCACCUGGCUCCAGGAUGAUGACAUUGAGCCGAUGAAUUAACCACCUUUGUGCUGCUCUAACCUUCAGAGUUCACCUUAACAUGAGAAAAUAAAACCCUUAUUGCUUAGCC
rnacentral:lncRNA from 10 species